CUUGAGUGCAGUUGAGGCAGGCGGAAUUCGUGGUGUAGCGGUGAAAUGCUUAGAUAUCACGAAGAACUCCGAUUGCGAAGGCAGCCUGCUAAGCUGCAACUGACAUUGAGGCUCGAAAGUGUGGGUAUCAAACAGGAUUAGAUACCCUGGUAGUCCACACGGUAAACGAUGAAUACUCGCUGUUUGCGAUAUACGGCAAGCGGCCAAGCGAAAGCGUUAAGUAUUCCACCUGGGGAGUACGCCGGCAACGGUGAAACUCAAAGGAAUUGACGGGGGCCCGCACAAGCGGAGGAACAUGUGGUUUAAUUCGAUGAUACGCGAGGAACCUUACCCGGGCUUAAAUUGCACUCGAAUGAUCCGGAAACGGUUCAGCUAGCAAUAGCGAGUGUGAAGGUGCUGCAUGGUUGUCGUCAGCUCGUGCCGUGAGGUGUCGGCUUAAGUGCCAUAACGAGCGCAACCCUUGUUGUCAGUUACUAACAGGUGAUGCUGAGGACUCUGACAAGACUGCCAUCGUAAGAUGUGAGGAAGGUGGGGAUGACGUCAAAUCAGCACGGCCCUUACGUCCGGGGCUACACACGUGUUACAAUGGGGGGUACAGAGGGCCGCUACCACGCGAGUGGAUGCCAAUCCCUAAAACCCCUCUCAGUUCGGACUGGAGUCUGCAACCCGACUCCACGAAGCUGGAUUCGCUAGUAAUCGCGCAUCAGCCACGGCGCGGUGAAUACGUUCCCGGGCCUUGUACACACCGCCCGUCAAGCCAUGGGAGCCGGGGGUACCUGAAGUGCGUAACCGCGAGGAUCGCCCUAGGGU
rnacentral:rRNA from 1 species